CCCCCCCCCCCCCCACAUCAAACAUUUCAUUCAUGAUGUUACUUGUAUCUAACUUAGUAAUGAAUAGUUUAUGCAGGAAUAGGGUGAACUCAGUUGCUGUGUUAAGCAAUAAUCUAUUCCAGUGUUCAUUAUCGUCACACAUGCUCAGAUCUUAGGCUUCUCCUAACCAUGAACAAAUGUGAAGGUUUCAAGACUUGUUUUUGUUCAGAGACAAAGCAGCAGAUAAGUAAUAACACUAUUCCUUCUGCCUGCUCAGCAAUUUACAUUUGUGAAUCCAAGAGUGGAGUAUUUCAAGUAUAAGUCUAGGUAGAGAUACAAUCUAGAGAAAGUGUAUUUCAUAUUGAAUUGACCUUAUAGAAUGUCCUUAUUUCUGAAAUCUAAGCUUGCCUUUAAUAUCUUUUUUUAUUCUUCCACGGAUGGAGAGAUUUUGUAAUUAGAAAACAAUUUUACAUCGGCAAGGUAGAAAAAAUCUAAUUUAAAGAUCAAAGCUUUAUUUUUUUUUUAAAUGAAAUAGAAAAGUUCUGCACAGACAGUAGUCUCCUCAAAGUUUCUGGACAUGACAGUGUAAGUCUCACAGUCGAAUGUCCAGAAACGAAAUUUCACCCUGGUAACAAAAUACAUUUUUUUUAGAUAUUUGUUUUGCUCUGCCUUUGGUUUGGUAGACUAUUAUGUGGUUUAAAUAAUAAAUAAGAAUUAGUAUGCUUCCCUUUCAGCUAGACAUAUUUGUUAUGUCCCCUAUCUGACCAUAAGUUACUUUCCUUGCCGAUGUGCUGUAUGGUAACCAAAGAGAGACUAAGACAAAAUAACUUUUUUUUUCAGUGUAGAAAUCUUUAACAUAACGACUCCUUGUUUUCAAACCUGCAGACAAUUAAAAUCAGACUACACGUGAGAUUGAAUUUAGAGCAAGUACUAGAUGAUUGCAUUGCAUUCAAUCUUAGAUAUGUGUGUUGGGAAUGUUUAAUAGUUGCAGAACUGUGUGUGCUGCUUUCAUCUUUGGAUUCCAUUCAACUAUAAUUAGGAUAGGAAGAGGUUUUCAUUUGAAUUGUGGCUUGUUCAUUUUAAAUGCUUUCACAAAUGUAACCUCCCCCAACCCCAUCCCCCUGAGAAUUUUUUUUUUGUAAAGUUUCAUAGAUGGUUCCCCCCCCCCCU